AUUGAACGCUGGCGGCAGGCCUAACACAUGCAAGUCGAACGAGUGGCGGACGGGUGAGUAAUGUCUGGGAAACUGUCCGCUGGAGGGGGAUAACUCCUGGAAACGGUAGCUCAUACCGCAUACCCUCGGAUGUGCCCCGAUGGGAUUAGCUAGUAGGUGGGGUAACGGCUCACCUAGGCGACGAUCCCUAGCUGGUCUGAGAGGAUGACCAGCCACACUGGAACUGAGACACGGGCCAGACUCCUACGGGAGGCAGCAGUGGGGAAUAUUGCACAAUGGGCGCAAGCCUGAUGCAGCCAUGCCGCGUGUAUGAAGAAGGCCUUCGGGUUGUAAAGUACUUUUAGCGAGGAGGCGUUACUCGCAGAAGAAGCACCGGCUAACUCCGUGCCAGCAGCCGCGGUAAUAC
rnacentral:rRNA from 1 species